rnacentral:rRNA from 1 species
AACGAACGCUGGCGGCAUGCCUAACACAUGCAAGUCGAACGGGAUCCUGGCUUCGGUCAGGUGAGAGUGGCGGACGGGUGAGUAACGCGUGGGAACCUGCCCAGUGGUGGGGGAUAACUGCGGGAAACUGCAGCUAAUACCGCAUGAGCCCGAGAGGGGGAAAGAUUUAUCGCCAUUGGAGGGGCCCGCGUUCGAUUAGGUAGUUGGUGAGGUAACGGCUCACCAAGCCGACGAUCGAUAGCUGGUCUGAGAGGAUGAUCAGCCACACUGGGACUGAGAUACGGCCCAGACUCCUACGGGAGGCAGCAGUGGGGAAUAUUGGACAAUGGGGGGCAACCCUGAUCCAGCAAUGCCGCGUGAGUGAUGAA